GUGCCAGCAGCCGCGGUAAUACAGAGGGUGCAAGCGUUAAUCGGAAUUACUGGGCGUAAAGCGAGCGUAGGUGGCUUGAUAAGUCAGAUGUGAAAUCCCCGGGCUUAACCUGGGAACUGCAUCUGAUACUGUUGGGCUAGAGUAGGUGAGAGGGAGGUAGAAUUUCAGGUGUAGCGGUGAAAUGCGUAGAGAUCUGAAGGAAUACCGAUGGCGAAGGCAGCCUCCUGGCAUCAUACUGACACUGAGGUUCGAAAGCGUGGGUAGCAAACAG
rnacentral:rRNA from 1 species